GGGUGUAUCUGGGAUGACCAGGAAAAGGAGUACAGGAGUCUGGUGAGGGAUAUAGCUAAGCAGGUCACAUUCUGUGGCUCAGUCUUUCACCAAAGAAGCGAUUCUCUUACCAGACUAUCUAACUGCACAUGUGCCAAGGCGUAACAAAAAAACUUGGCUUUUUGAAAAUGGACAUAUAAAAUCUGCACUGGUACUCAGACAAAGUAAUGCAGGCAGUAAGGACUGUCUUCCAGCCAGUUGUUGAAGGAUGCAGGUAAGCUUUAGAUCCUUUUUUAUAAAAAGAUUUUUUUUUGUUACUUGGAUUAUUAUACUAUUAAAGGUCAACUUUGGGUAUUUCCAAAAAGGAUCUGGGAGCACUGAUCAGAUGACUGGAUUGAUAUCUUUUAGAGUUAACAAAAAUUAAGCCUUUUAAUGUACUGUAUUGUAUUGCAGUCUGUUAGCCUUAACAAAAAUUUCAUAUACACUGUUUUCUUCCUCCCCUAGGCUACAGAUUUUGCUGGCAUGCCACACCAAACUAGUUGAGCCAUCACUCACUUCCAAACAGACUUUGAAUGAAGACCUUGUGACUUCAUCAGAAGUCAAUUUAUGUCAGACCUGACAAGGCUUAUUCUGAUGGAGAGAGUAGCCAUACAAGCAGGCAGGAUUUCACAGAAACGUUGAAUUCUGACAAAUGUGGUGAAAUUUCUAAAGACGUUACCUCAGCCAUUCCCAUUGUUAACACACAGUCCAUGUCUGUUGAUGAUGAGGUCAUCUGUUGCGUUGCUACUGCCACUGUCAGUGACAACACACCUGGCGUAUCAGUGGGUUCUUCUGCCAGUGUUACUGGUGACACACGUGUCUUCUCUAGUAACACCUCCAGUGUGUCCAAUGGACCUACCCAGCCAAGUUUAUCCAGCACAUCCUACAGUACAUAUCUUGGCCUGUUUGAGGAAGAAUACCUGUCAAAUGACCCCGACCUCCAAGAAGCCAUUUCAAGGUCUUUAGACGUGCAAGUAAAAGAAAAGGAGUCACCUACUAUCUAGUUUUGGAUCAGUUUGAAUAAGCAAACUACAAACUGCAACCUACGAUUUCUGUUGUCGUUUGAAGAUUACCAAGGCUAUCAGAUUAAUUAUAUUUUACUUGAUAUAUGUUUUGGUUUAUUUUUAGUGGCUUUAGUGAAAUGUUAGAUACAAAGGUUUGAAUCUGUAAAAAGAAUAAAGAAAAGAAUAUCUGGUCAUUAAACUUCUGUGCUAAUACUCUUAUUUUAUAACUCUGACCACCUGCAGCCUCUAUGAUAGUCAUUACUAUGCUGUCAUAGUUUUGAUUUCGGGCUGCUGUAGCAUUGUCCUCUCUUAUUUGCAACCCUGUCCUUAUUUUAACUCCAUCUGGUUUUUGGCUUUGACUGAUUGGAGAUAAUGAAUUGUAUUAUUUUUGCACCACACGUUGGCUAGCUUGACAUCAUAAGUGAUGUGAUAACACAACUGCAAGCAGUGUCAUCAUGCUGGUAGAAACUUGCCUUUUUUUAAAAUUAUGUAGCAGUUAUUUAUAUACUUAGCAAACACAUGUCCACACAACAAAGGUAUUUUCCCUAUUUACAUUUCCAUGCUGUGAAUAAAUAGUAUAGAGUAUUUUGUUGUUUAUGUAUAUUUGUUGUUUAUGUAUAAUUAAGCAUUUUCUGCUCUGGGA
ensembl:lncRNA